GUGUGUGUAUAUAAUGCAGUGUGUUUGUGUAGUGUGCAUUAUAUAAACACACUACACAAACACACUGCAUUAUAUACACACUAU